rnacentral:misc_RNA from 1 species
UCAUUUAAACCUUCAAGCUCAGCUUGGUGUUGGGUGACUGUCCGCUGCCCUCGGGUGCGGACUCGCCUCAAAAUCAUUGGCGGCCGGUACAUUGGCUUCGAGCGCAGCAGAAACGCGAACUCGAGCCCGUUGUAUUGGCUCCCAGAAGCUAUCUUCAUAAUUUUGACCUCGGAUCAGGUAGGGAUACCCGCUGAACUUAA